rfam:Ovis aries breed Texel chromosome 10, whole genome shotgun sequence.
CCCAGGAGUCUCAAAGGUAAAAGAUCUGUCUGCAAUGCAGGAGACCCUGGUUCAAUUCCUGGUUCUGGAA